rnacentral:rRNA from 1 species
AACGAACGCUGGCGGCGCGCCUAAUACAUGCAAGUCGAGCGAGAAGGUGUAGCAAUACACUUGUAAAGCGGCGAACGGGUGAGGAAUGCAUGGGUAACCUACCCUCGAGUGGGGAAUAACUAGCCGAAAGGUUAGCUAAUACCGCAUACGUUUCCGGAACUUCGGUUUCGGAAAGAAAGCAAUACCGUGGGUAUUGCGCUCCUGGAUGGGCUCAUGUCCUAUCAGCUUGUUGGUGAGGUAACGGCUCACCAAGGCUUCGACGGGUAGCUGGUCUGAGAGGACGAUCAGCCACACUGGCACUGCGACACGGGCCAGACUCCUACGGGAGGCAGCAGUAAGGAAUAUUGCGCAAUGGACGAAAGUCUGACGCAGCGACGCCGCGUGGGGGGAUGAAGGUCUUCGGAUUGUAAACCCCUUUCGGGAGGGAAGGAUGGAGUGGGUAACCACUUGGACGGUACCUCCACGAAGGCAGCCACGGCUAACUUCGUGCCAGCAGCCGCGGUAAU